CUUUCUUCUCUCUUCUUCUCUGAUUUUCAUGUGUAUUUUUAUUACGUUUCGAGAUUAAUCGUUAGUCAUGAUUCUAUUAGUCGUAUUAUCAGUGUAUGUUAUUUUAGUAAUUCAUUGUUAUUCUGGAAUCAUAUAUUUAUUCAUAUGUUUUAAUUAUAUUUUUUUUACCUUGUCAUUUGAUUAGUUCGUAUAUAGUUCGUCAUUUAUGAUUUUUGAUUCUUCGACCUAGCUGGUCGACUAUGUCAUAUGCAUUUAUUCUUGCUAAACUUUUAGUUUUAUCGACCUAAACGGUCGAUUGUUUGUUUGCUCGUGCUUGUUACUCUUGGAUAUUUGUUUCUCGACCUAGCCGGUCGAUUAUUUUGUCGUUUGUUUGAAUAUUAAGUUAGUCACGACUACAAAUGAUGGAUUCAAUUCAAAUUGUUGAAUUGUUUAAUUCACCGGGUUAGUCGGUUCAUUGAAUGAUUUGUUAAGCUUGACCUUAUCUUCCUUUGUGCAUGAUUUGAGUUUGAGUUUUCAGCUUAAAUAAGUCAUGUAUUGGUUAAAAACUGAAGUAGUGAGAAAUACACGAGUAUAGGGUACUUGUUUGGUUGCUUUUACUGUUUAAAAGGCUGUUUGGAGUACACUGCUCUUAGCACUGUUCGUAGUUGGGGAGGAACUAUCUUACAGACAGAUUUUUGACCAAAAAAUAUGUCCUUUGAUCAGUUGGGACAGAUUUUAGGUGGAAAAUCCGUCCUUUCGAUAGAUUGAAUGAAAUAAUUCAAUCCCUCUCCUUUCCUGUAAAGGAAAAGGUCUUUCCUCAUUUAAAGAUGGGGGGAAGACAAGCUAUCUUACAUUAGAACAGAUAGCUUCUGAAAAUCUUUAACACUGAGAAAAAUACAAAAACUUUGAGAAACAUCAGCAGCUAAAACAACGAAAAGUGAGCUGAAAAACUGAAAGUUUGCAAGUUCUUUCUUCCUUUCCUAAGUCGGUGAGCUUUUGGUCUGGGUUUCUAAGUCACUUCGGAUCUAAAAGACUAUUGUUCGAUUGUUGUUUCAUUUGGCUGGAGUUUGGUUUGCUGGUUCCCUGCUCUGCUGUCUGUUUUUCUUCUAUUUUCUGCAAAUUAGGUAUUUUUUAGCUCUCUAAUUUAGCUUUUAGCUGCAUAAAGCUAUUGCAAUGAAUGUGUUGAUAUGUUAUUAUUGUUACUUUAUAUUUGUGUUUGAUGUUUUGCUCAUAAAUGGAUGAAUGAAUGUUCAACUUCAUGAAUAUGUGCUCUGUUUCUCUUUUAAGUUUCAGCUCUCCUAAACUCAAAAGUUGUACAUGAUUGAAGCUAUGGUGACAGAUUUGUGGCAUAGUUCAGUUGAGGAGCAAGUAAAUAUAAGACACAUUUGAAAUCCUCUGAUAGUUGAUAGCUUAGAUAAAUGUUGAGUUUUUAAGUCGAAGAUGUGUGUAUGGUAGAGUUUAAUCUUAAGAGCAGUUGUACUGAUAUUCUUUGGUUCAAGUUUCUUUUUUGUUUUGAUUAUGAAUUUGUACUAGUUUGCUCUAGUUUUCUUUUAAGGGUUUUUUUCUCUUUUCUUUAAGUUUGACAUAAAUAUUGUUCUCUUAUAUUUUCAUUUGCGUUAGCAGAGUUUUUGCAAAUAAGUUCCAAUACAUGUUAAAGUGCUUGAGUAGAUAACGCUUUUUUUUUUUGUUUAUUUAUUCGUUCUCUAAUUCGAGUAUAAGAAUGAAUACUUAGAAGUUCCUCCUUAGUUUUAAUAUCUUUUAAAAGGUUGUUAAAAUAUAUUUUAGCUUGAAAGGUUGUGUAUCAUUGUGGAGUUAGUAUUCAUGUUAGAGUGAAUUUAGUAGUAAAAUUAUGUUUGUUUAGAAAGAAUGCUCUUCUAUAUAUAUUUUAAGGAAUUUCUGUUGGAUAGUAAAUUAUCAAAUUGAGUUUUUACAUGUGCUUUCUAAAUAUUUAUACGGUAAACUAAAAAGGUAUCUUUUUAUGUCUUAAUUUGUCUUUGUAAAAAUAAAUGUUAAGUUUAAAAAGAAAAGGUUUUGGAUUGUUAGCAGUAUGGGUUUAGGUUUUGGUUCAAAAAAUCAUUUUCAUGCUAAAUAAUUUCAGCGGCCCAACACUAAUAAGAUCCAGCAGCUGAUCCAUUUGUUUAAGUUAAUAACAUAGCUGACACAUUCUGUUUUUAGUCAAGGGCUGGCCCAAUGGCUAAAGUGGUCCAAGGGCCAGCAGUUCAAAUGCCCAAAUUGGUGGUCCAUUCCCCUUUAAUGUUGCAAAUACUAAUAAGAAUCGGUCCACUUUUAGUAAGGAGGUUGUCUAUUCUUUAAAAUAAUAAGCUAACACAAUUCUUAUAUAUAUAUAUAUAUAUAUAUAUAUAUAUUUCAUUGAAUGAUUUGUUAAGCUUGACCUUAUCUUCCUUUGUGCAUGAUUUGAGUUUGAGUUUUCAGCUUAAAUAAGUCAUGUAUUGGUUAAAAACUGAAGUAGUGAGAAAUACACGAGUAUAGG
rnacentral:lncRNA from 1 species